AUUGAACGCUGGCGGCAGGCCUAACACAUGCAAGUCGAACGAGCGGCGGACGGGUGAGUAAUGUCUGGGAAACUGCCUGAUGGAGGGGGAUAACUACUGGAAACGGUAGCUAAUACCGCAUACUAUCGGAUGUGCCCAUAUGGGAUUAGCUAGUAGGUGGGGUAAAGGCUCACCUAGGCGACGAUCCCUAGCUGGUCUGAGAGGAUGAUCAGCCACACUGGGACUGAGACACGGCCCAGACUCCUACGGGAGGCAGCAGUGGGGAAUAUUGCGCAAUGGGCGCAACCCUGAUGCAGCCAUGCCGCGUGAAUGAAGAAGGCCUUCGGGUUGUAAAGUACUUUCGGCAGGGAGGCGUUAACUACAGAAGAAGCACCGGCUAACUCCGUGCCAGCAGCCGCGGUAAUUC
rnacentral:rRNA from 1 species